AGUAUUAGUGCUCCAUGUAGAUGGGAAGGCUGAGGCUGAGGAGGAGAAAGGCUUUUCCGGGCCCACCUGACUUCUUUAUAGAGGUAAGAUAUUUAUUUAAUGGUAACCAAGUUGACUUUCCUGCUUACCUGAAGCAACAUGGAAGACAAGAACAGUCACAGCAAAGAAAUCAAACGAAUGAUGAUGGACACAAACAAGAACAUAUUCAGAAGAAGGCAAUCAAAAUGAUAAAAGUUCUGGGAACCUAGUCUAUAAGGAAUGGUUGAGGAUGGCAGAGGUUGAGGUUGAAGGACAGCUAACGUGUUUCUUGCAACAACAGUUACUACCUUCUGAAAUUGUCCCAUUUGAAACCUAGACCAAAAUUGCUCACUGUUGGAGUCAGAUUGAAGAUCAUGGAUCAAUCAUGCUAACUUUUUGCUUCAUAAAACUCACAAUGAUGUGAUUAAAUGCAUGAUUUGUU